UCAAAUGAAUUGACGGGGAGCACCACGAACGGGUGGAGCUUGCGGUUUAAUUGGAUUCAACGCCGGAAAUCUUACCGGGACCGACAGCAAUAUGAAGGCCAGGCUGAAGACUUUGCCGGAUUAGCUGAGAGGUGGUGCAUGGCCGUCGUCAGUUCGUACUGUGAAGCAUCCUGUUAAGUCAGGCAACGAGCGAGACCCACGCCCACAGUUGCCAGCGUACUCUCUGGAGUGACGGGUACACUGUGGGACCGCCGCUGCUAAAGCGGAGGAAGGAAUGGGCAACGGUAGGUCAGUAUGCCCCGAAUAUCCCGGGCUACACGCGAGCUACAAUGGUUGGUACAAUGGGUAUCUACCCCGAAAGGGGACGGGAAUCUCCUAAAACCAAUCUUAGUUCGGAUUGAGGGCUGCAACUCGCCCUCAUGAAGCUGGAAUCCGUAGUAAUCGCGUUUCAACAGAACGCGGUGAAUACGUCCCUGCUCCUU
rnacentral:rRNA from 1 species